AACGAACGCUGGCGGCAUGCCUAACACAUGCAAGUCGAACGAGAUCUUCGGGUCUAGUGGCGCACGGGUGCGUAACGCGUGGGAAUCUGCCCUUUGGUUCGGAAUAACAGUUGGAAACGACUGCUAAUACCGGAUGAUGACGAAAGUCCAAAGAUUUAUCGCCAGAGGAUGAGCCCGCGUAGGAUUAGCUAGUUGGUGUGGUAAAGGCGCACCAAGGCGACGAUCCUUAGCUGGUCUGAGAGGAUGAUCAGCCACACUGGGACUGGGAAGCUGCCCAGAGUUGUUUGGGAGGCAGUGUUGGGGAAUAUGUGAUAAUGGGCGUAGUCGUGAUCCAGAGAUGCUGCGUGAGGUAUGGUGGCCUUAGGUUUGUAAAGCUCUUUUACCCGGGAUGAUUAUGACAGUACCGGGAGAAUAAGCUCCGGCUAACUCCGUGCCAGCCGCCGCAGUAA
rnacentral:rRNA from 1 species